UCCUGAACCACUAGACGAUGGGGGC
rnacentral:tRNA from 9 species